UUGGCGACGGGAUCGACCUCGCGGGUCACCACCAGGUAUUGGCGCAGCGCGAUGGCGUGCAGGUGCUC
rfam:Mycobacterium sp. 852002-51057_SCH5723018 contig_129, whole genome shotgun sequence.